rnacentral:rRNA from 2 species
GCGACCCCAGGACGGGCGGGAU